rnacentral:lncRNA from 1 species
CCAGGUGGGCAAAAGGAUGACCAGUACUGUCGUGACACCCACCCAACCACUGGAGCUUACGGUGGGGCCGGCUACACAGGAGGAGAGCACCAGGAGAAGAAGGGUAUAAUAGGCCAAGUUAAGGACAAGCUGCCAGGUGGGCAAAAGGAUGAUCAGUACUCUCAUGACACCCACAAAACUACUGGAGCUUACGGUGGGGCCGGAUACACAGGAGAUGAUACCCGGGAGAAGAAGGGUAUAAUAGGCCAAGUGAAGGACAAGCUGCCAGGUGGGCAAAAGGAUGACCAUUACUCUCAUGACACCCACCCAACAACUGGAGCUUACGGUGGGGCCGGGUACACAGGAGAUGAUACCCGGGAGAAGAAGGGUAUAAUAGACCAAGUAAAGGACAAGCUGCCGGGUGGGCAAAAGGAUGACCAUUACUCUCAUGAGACCCACCCAACCACUGGAGCUUACGGUGGGGCAGGGUACACAGGAGAUGAUACACGGGAGAAGAAGGGUGUAGUGGAGAAAGUGAAGGAGAAGCUGCCAGGUGGGCAAAAUGUGCACCCAACCACUGGACCUUACGGUGGGGGUGGGGCCGCGGGCAUAGGAGAGACCCGGGAGAGGAAGGGUGUAGGGGAGAAAGUGAAG